CCCGGAAAGAUCGAAGGGGGAGAUUCAUCGUCGGCGGAGUGUUGGCUUUCACUUGGUACGCGAUGUUUCAAUUUCACGUUACCGUAUGAAUGUCCGGCCGCGUCGGCGUGCACUUCUCCCCUGGUAGAACGUCGCGACCCGCUGGUCGUUGGUCUACGGGCCCCACUGCGUUCAACAGUCUGUCGACCUUGCGUCUCGCGCGUAAGCGCGUCGGCAGGAACGCGCCGGGUAACCAUGUUCCCCGGCCAACUGAUCGGCGGUAGAUUUGAGAAAAGGCGCUGAGCCGCACGAACGCGUGCGUUCCGGCCCGUCGCAAGCUUGACUUGGUUUUUCGGAGGUCGGACCUGGUGCCGUCCCCGGGACCGGUUGGCUGUUGGUGACGGUGUUCUCAGACCGGCUCUCACUCAUAUUUUAUAUGACGCCUGUCAGCGACGCUAUAGCUUUGGGUACUUUCAGGACCCGUCUUGAAACACGGACCAAGGAGUCUAACACGCUCGCAAGUCAUUGGGAUUAUGAAACCCAAAGGCGUAUUGAAAGAGAAGAUCGUCCCUGGUGUCUAUCGAGGGAAGACGGACGCGCGUCUCGAUACGCGUCCAGCACUCCCGGGGCGUCUCGUGCUCAUUGCGAGCUGAGGCGCACCCUUAGCGAGCGCGUUGGGACCCGAAAGAUGGUGAACUAUGCCUGGUCAGGAUGAAGUC
rnacentral:rRNA from 1 species